rnacentral:rRNA from 1 species
CAGUCGCCGCGGUAAUACGAAGGGGGCUAGCGUUGCUCGGAAUCACUGAGCGUAAAGGGUGCGUAGGCGGGUCUUUAAGUCAGAGGUGAAAUCCUGGAGCUCAACUCCAGAACUGCCUUUGAUACUGAGGAUCUUGAGUUCGGGAGAGGUGAGUGGAACUGCGAGUGUAGAGGUGAAAUUCGUAGAUAUUCGCAAGAACACCAGUGGCGAAGGCGGCUCACUGGCCCGAUACUGACGCUGAGGCACGAAAGCGUGGGGAGCAAACUGGAUUAGAUACCCCAGUAGUCCCUGUCUCUUAUAC